rnacentral:rRNA from 1 species
GACGAACGCUGGCGGCGUGCCUAAUACAUGCAAGUAGAACGCUGAAGGAGGAGCUUGCUUCUCUGGAUGAGUUGCGAACGGGUGAGUAACGCGUAGGUAACCUGCCUGGUAGCGGGGGAUAACUAUUGGAAACGAUAGCUAAUACCGCAUAAUAGCAGUUGUUGCAUGACAACUGUUUGAAAGGUGCAAUUGCACCACUACCAGAUGGACCUGCGUUGUAUUAGCUAGUUGGUGGGGUAACGGCUCACCAAGGCGACGAUACAUAGCCGGCCUGAGAGGGUGAUCGGCCACACUGGGACUGAGACACGGCCCAGACUCCUACGGGAGGCAGCAGUAGGGAAUCUUCGGCAAUGGACGGAAGUCUGACCGAGCAACGCCGCGUGAGUGAAGAAGGUUUUCGGAUCGUAAAGCUCUGUUGUAAGAGAAGAACGAGUGUGAGAGUGGAAAGUUCACACUGUGACGGUAUCUUACCAGAAAGGGACGGCUAACUACGUG